rnacentral:rRNA from 1 species
AGAGCGAACGCUGGCGGCAGGCCUAACACAUGCAAGUCGAGCGCCCGUAGCAAUACGGGAGCGGCAGACGGGAUAGUAACACGUGGGAACGCGCCCUUCGGUUCGGAAUAACUCAGGGAAACUUGAGCUAAUACCGAAUACGCCCUUACGGGGAAAGAUUUAUUGCCGAAGGAACGGCCCGCGUCCGAUUAGCUAGUUGGUGAGGUAAUGGCUCACCAAGGCUACGAUCGGUAGCUGGUCUGAGAGGAUGACCAGCAUCACUGGGACUGAGACACGGCCCAGACUCCUACGGGAGGCAGCAGUGGGGAAUAUUGGACAAUGGGCGCAAGCCUGAUCCAGCCAUGCCGCGUGGAUGAUGAAGGUCCUUAGGGUUGUAAAGUCCGUUUUAACGGGGAAGAUAAUGACGGUACCCGUAGAAUAAGCCCCGGCUAACUUCGCGCCAGCAGCCGC